AGUGAACGCUGGCGGUAGGCCUAACACAUGCAAGUCGAACGGCAGCACAGUAAGAGCUUGCUCUUACGGGUGGCGAGUGGCGGACGGGUGAGGAAUACAUCGGAAUCUACUUUUUCGUGGGGGAUAACGUAGGGAAACUUACGCUAAUACCGCAUACGACCUACGGGUGAAAGCAGGGGAUCUUCGGACCUUGCGCGAUUGAAUGAGCCGAUGUCGGAUUAACUAGUUGGCGGGGUAAAGGCCCACCAAGGCGACGAUCCGUAGCUGGUCUGAGAGGAUGAUCAGCCACACUGGAACUGAGACACGGUCCAGACUCCUACGGGAGGCAGCAGUGGGGAAUAUUGGACAAUGGGCGCAAGCCUGAUCCAGCCAUACCGCGUGGGUGAAGAAGGCCUUCGGGUUGUAAAGCCCUUUUGUUGGGAAAGAAAGGCAGCAGGUUAAUACCCCGCUGUUCUGACGGUACCCAAAGAAUAAGCACCGGCUAACUUCGUG
rnacentral:rRNA from 1 species